AAGUCGUAACAAGGUUUCCGUAGGUGAACCUGCGGAAGGAUCAUUAACACGUAUCCACGUUAUCAACCAACGAGAAUUUGUUUUCACGUCUCCCUUUGCAAAUUAGAAUGAAUUGGAACCAGUUUGAGGGAAUGGAUGUGGAUCGAAAGGUCGGCCUUCCUGGUAUACUUAUGAGAAAGAGAAAUCUUUUUCAUUAACAAUUGUAUCUUUUAUGCGAGGCAACAAACUUCUUUUAAUUACUUUGAUCAACACAUCAUGGUCCGAGGUAAUUAAGAGAGAAACCAAUUAUAACAACAACCAUUUUCACCACCUUUUUGCUAGUUGACUUUUUAUCUGUGAUUGUUUUGCGUUAAAAGCAAUGUAGUCGCACGUUUAAUUUUACUUGAACGUUAAAAAAUACAACUCUUAGCAAUGGAUAUCUUGGUUCUC
rnacentral:misc_RNA from 1 species